AAGUCGUAACAAGGUUUCCGUAGGUGAACCUGCGGAAGGAUCAUUAAUGGGUUAUUGAACUUAGGUUCAACCUCCAACCCUGUGUCAAAUUACCAUGUUGCUUUGGCAAGCCAGUCUUUUGGCUGCCGGGGGUCUUGAGACCUCUGGUUUGUGCUUGCCAGUGCCCCAAUUAAAAACUCUUUUUAACCAUUUGUCUAAGUCAAAAGUUAAAUAUUUAAAA
rnacentral:misc_RNA from 1 species